CAGCGAUGGCCGUGUAGUGGACUGCCAUGGCGUUGACGGGAGCGGGGGAUUAGGGUUCGAUUCCGGAGAGGGAGCCUGAGAAAUAGCUACCACUUCUACGGAGGGCAGCAGGCGCGCAAAUUGCCCAAUGUCAAAAAAAAACGAUGAGGCAGCGAAAAGAAAUAGAGCCGAGAGCGCCUUUGGCGUUGUCGUAUUCAAUGGGGGAUAUUUAAACCCAUCCAAAAUCGAGUAACAAUUGGAGGACAAGUCUGGUGCCAGCACCCGCGGUAAUUCCAGCUCCAAAAGCGUAUAUUAAUGCUGU
rnacentral:rRNA from 1 species